GGAUUUACUCGGUGGAAUGAAGACUGUGUUGCUGCUAAUAAUCUUUACAAGAAAUUUGAUGACAGAUUCUGCACGUCACCUCACUACUUCUACUGUAACACUGUGAAGAAGAACAGGCAGGUGAUCCGAGUGCAGGUGAAAGGUGCUGAGAACAUGGAUGAAGCUAAACUGAAGACACUCGUCUUAAACAAGUUACAGCAGACGCUGAGAGAUGAGGACGUCACAGUGAUGUGGAGGACACAACCCAACGGGAAAGUCUUCCUGAAGAGCAACACUGUGCAGAACUAUAUUAAACCUAUUUGUGCUUUUGGGUUAAAAUGAUCUAAAACUAAUGCAAUUAAUUCUUAGUUACAAAUAAGUAGCACAUUAUAUCAGCAAUGCAUAGUCAUUUCUCCAAAAAUGUUACUCAUACUAAUUUUGCCUUGAUUCAUUUAGUCAACAGAUAUUUAUGUCUACAUAUAAACUAAUGCAAGUAUAGAUUUAGAACCGUAAUUUUAGUGCAACUGUAAUAUUUAUAUCUUUAAUAAAAC